rnacentral:rRNA from 1 species
UACGUAGGGUCCAAGCGUUAAUCGGAAUUACUGGGCGUAAAGCGUGCGCAGGCGGUUGUGUAAGCCAGAUGUGAAAUCCCCGGGCUUAACCUGGGAAUGGCCAUGGAAACUGGCGAACUGGAGUGCGGCAGAGGGGGGUGGAAUUCCACGUGUAGCAGUGAAAUGCGUAGAGAUGUGGAGGAACACCGAUGGCGAAGGCAGCCCCCUGGGCCGACACUGACGCUCAGGCACGAAAGCGUGGGGAGCAAACAGG